GAUGAAGAACGCAGCGAAAUGCGAUAGGUAGUGUGAAUUGCAGAAUUCAGUGAAUCAUCGAAUCUUUGAACGCACAUUGCGCCCUUUGGUAUUCCAAAGGGCAUGCCUGUUCGAGCGUCAUUUGUACCCUCAAGCUUUGCUUGGUGUUGGGCGUCUUGUCUCUAGCUUUGCUGGAGACUCGCCUUAAAGUAAUUGGCAGCCGGCCUACUGGUUUCGGAGCGCAGCACAAGUCGCACUCUCUAUCAGCAAAGGUCUAGCAUCCAUUAAGCCUUUUUUUCAACUUUUGACCUCGGAUCAGGUAGGGAUACCCGCUGAACUUAAGCAUAUCAAUAAGCGGAGGA
rnacentral:misc_RNA from 1 species